rnacentral:rRNA from 1 species
GGAAACUACUGCUAACACCCAAUGAGCCGAGAGGUAAAAAAUUUAUUGCCUGAAGAGGAGCUCGCGUCCGAUUAGUUAGUUGGUGGGGUAAAAGCCUACCAAGACGGCGAUCGGUAGCUGGUCUGAGAGGAUGAGCAGCCACACUGGGACUGAGACACGGCCCAGACUCCUACGGGAGGCAGCAGUGGGGAAUUUUCCGCAAUGGGGGCAACCCUGACGGAGCAAUACCGCGUGAGGGAGGAAGGCCUUUGGGUUGUAAACCUCUUUUCUUAAGGAAGAAGCUCUGACGGUACUUAAGGAAUCAGCAUCGGCUAACUCCGUGCCAGCAGCCGCGGUAAUACGGAGGAUGCAAGCGUUAUCCGGAAUUGUUGGGCGUAAAGCGUCCGCAGGCGGCAUUAUAAGUCUGCUGUCAAAGACCGCAGCUCAACUGCGGAAAGGCAGUGGAAACUGUAGAGCUAGAGUACGGUAGGGGUAGAGGGAAUUCCCAGUGUAGCGGUGAAAUGCGUAGAGAUUGGGAAGAACACCAGUGGCGAAAGCGCUCUACUGGGCCGUAACUGACGCUCAGGGACGAAAGCU